GGAUAGCAUCGCUUUGACCCUUAACUGGAAUAAGCACUUCAGAAAAUGAGAUAUAUUCACUGAAAAGCACAAAUUACUCUCCGAUAACCAAUAUGGUUUUAGAUCAAACAGUACAACAUCAUUAGCAAUAAUACAAGCAAUUGAAGAAAUCACAAAUGCCAUUGAACAAAAGAAAUAUGCAGUUGGAAUAUUUAUUGACAUUAAGAAAGCCUUCGACACAAUCAACCAUGAAAUAUUAAUUAAAAAACUGGAAAUAUAUGGCAUCAGAGGUAUUGUAUCAGACUGGGUAAGAAGCUAUUUACAACAGAGACGGCAGUUUGUUAAGAUGGGUGAUGUCAGUUCUGAAUGUUUGGACAUUGUUUUUGGAGUACCACAGGGGUCAGUGCUGGGGCCCAAAACUAUGUAUAUUGUAUAUUAAUGAUAUUUGCAAGGUGUCAAAGAUACUCAAACUGGUGUUGUUUGCUGAAGACACAAAUAUUUUCUGUUCUGGGGAGAAUUUAAAAGAAAUGGUAGAGGAAAUCACUGAAGAAAUGAACAAAUUGAAAAUAUGGUUUGAUUGAAACAAAUUGUCAUUGAACUUAAAUAAAACAAAA